rnacentral:rRNA from 1 species
AUUGAACGCUGGCGGCAUGCCUUACACAUGCAAGUCGAACGGCAGCAUGGAGAGCUUGCUCUCUGAUGGCGAGUGGCGAACGGGUGAGUAAUGCAUCGGAACGUACCGUGUAAUGGGGGAUAACGUAGCGAAAGUUACGCUAAUACCGCAUACGACCUGAGGGUGAAAGCAGGGGAUCGCAAGACCUUGCGUUAUACGAGCGGCCGAUGUCAGAUUAGCUAGUUGGUGAGGUAAAGGCUCACCAAGGCGACGAUCUGUAGCGGGUCUGAGAGGAUGAUCCGCCACACUGGGACUGAGACACGGCCCAGACUCCUACGGGAGGCAGCAGUCGAGGAUCUUCGGCAAUGGGCGAAAGCCUGACCGAGCGACGCCGCGUGAGGGAAGAAGGCCUUCGGGUUGUAAACCUCUUUCGUAGAGGAGGAAGGGGCCGUGCAGAGCGGUCUUUGACCUAUUCUAGGAAGAAGCUUGGGCUAAGUUCGUGCCAGCAGCCGCGGUAA